AGGGAGAGGACCCUGAGGCAGCGGCUGGAGACAGAGAGGGUCCCGGCGGCCCGGGGGAACCAGGAACUUAGGGCCCCUCUGGAGCAGACCAGAGACAUCCAACACAUCCACACAUCGGCCUGAAAGAGCAAAGGGUGAAGCAAAAGGGUGGAGAAUGAAGAAACAACCUAACUUGUUCGCUCUCUCUCCUGUGUAAAACCUAACCAACGUUCCUCUCUCUCCUGUGUAAAACCUAACCAACGUUCCUCUUCCUCUCUCUCCUGUGUAAAACCUAACCAACGUUCCUCUCCCUCCUGUGUAAAACCUAACCAACGUUCCUCUUCCUCUCUCUCCUGUGUAAAACCUAACCAACGUUCUCUCUCUCCUGUGUAAAACCUAACCAACGUUCCUCUUCCUCUCUCUCCUGUUGUAAAACCUAACCAACGUUCCUCUUCCUCUCUCUCCUGUGUAAAACCUAACCAACGUUCCUCCCCUCUCUCUCCUGUGUAAAACCUAACCAACGUUCCUCUUCCUCCUCUCUGUGUAAAACCUAACCAACGUUCCUCUUCCUCUCUCUCCUGUGUAAAACCUAACCAACGUUCCCUCCCUCCUGUGUAAAACCUAACAACGUUCCUCUCUCUCCUGUGUAAAACCUAACCAACGUUCCCUCUCUCCUGUGUAAAACCUAACCAACGUUCCUCUCUCUCCUGUGUAAAACCUAACCUAACACGUCCUCUCUCUCCUGUGUAAACCUAACCAACGUUCCUCUCCCUCUGUGUAAAACCUAACCAACGUUCCUCUCCCUCCUGUGUAAAACCUAACCAACGUUCCUCUCUCUCCUGUGUAAAAACUAACCAACGUUCCUCUCUCUCCUGUGUAAAACCUAACCAACGUUCCUGUCUCUCGCUCUCAACCUAUCCAUCGUUCCUCCCUCCCCCCUGUAUAGGAGCCUGCUGAAGGUGAGAUUGGAACACCAGUGUUUCAGAGAGUGUAGCUCUCAGAG
rnacentral:lncRNA from 1 species